rnacentral:rRNA from 1 species
GACGAACGCUGGCGGCGUGCUUAACACAUGCAAGUCGAACGGAAAGGCCCUGCUUUUGUGGGGUGCUCGAGUGGCGAACGGGUGAGUAACACGUGAGUAACCUGCCCUUGACUUUGGGAUAACUUCAGGAAACUGGGGCUAAUACCGGAUAGGAGCUCCUGCUGCAUGGGGGGGGUGGGAAAGUUUCGGCGGUUGGGGAUGGACUCGCGGCUUAUCAGCUUGUUGGUGGGGUAGUGGCUUACCAAGGCUUUGACGGGUAGCCGGCCUGGGAGGGUGACCGGCCACAUUGGGCCUGGGGUAGCGCCCAUACUCCUACGGGAGGCAGCAGUGGGGGACAUUGCACAAUGGGCGGAAUCCUGAUGCAGCAACGCCGCGUGCGGGAUGACUGCCUUCGGGUUGUAAACCGCUUUCGCCUGUGACGAAGCGUGAGUGACGGUAAUGGGUCAAGAAGCACCGGCUAACUACGUG